CUCGUCCUGGCAGGUUGACAGCAAGGGGAACAGGCGCGGGCAGCGGCCGAGUAGUCCCAGAGUCCCAGAUCCCGUCCUGCCUCCCUCGGGGACCUGGCCGCCGCCGCACCGUGCCGGAGAGCCGGUUCCAACCGCCUGGGCGGGGUGAACAGGGGCCACGCGCGGGAGAGUGGAGCUGCGUUGUUUUUAGAAAACUGCGCCAAUCUCUCUUCCCCUUUCCCCGCUGAGUGUGCACGUCCCAGCCUAGACCUGGCAGGAGGACACCUAACGCCCCCGACUGCGCAGCCCGUGAGGGGCAGCCCCACUCCCACCCUGCUCCACCGCCGCGCUGCUCCCUCCGCCGUUCUCCGGAAGGGCUCCUCCAACGGCCGAGGCACAGAAAACGCCUGUCUUCCUGCUCACCAGCCUUUACCGGCCUUUCCCCGACCAACUAAUAAGACAUGCACUGUGUACUAUGGGGGAGAUCUGAAGAGAAGAUGAAGAAUGGAGGGAAGUUGGCAGUAAAUCAAGUGGAAGACAAAUCAUGACACAAUUUGGCAGUGGAUCUUUUAUGUUAUCCCCGGCUUCAGUACCAGUGGUGUAUUACUUUUUCACAAUAUUUUUCAGACAAUCUUGAGCUUAAUUGCCAACUUGUUCAUGAGCUCAGAAGCUCUACACAGAGAGUAUCAUGUUUUUGAGAAGAAGGCUUCUGGGCAAUUUCUGUUUCUUCAUAGAGUUAUUGGAUGGAAUCAUACUGAUGAAGCUGUGGUUACAGCAAACAUUCUCAAUAUUAUGAAGUCCAGGAGGUGGGUUUUUUUUGCUAACAUAAAAAUAUUCCUCAGCCACAUGCUGGCCCAACACACAAGGGGGGGAUUUGGACUGGAGCUUCUUCACCUAUCCAACAAAAGAUAUAUUUGCUGCAAUUUUGACAACCACAUCCCUUUGUGAAGGCUGCUCUUGGAAAAAGUAUAAAUAAAAUAAAGUUUUAUAAA